UACGGGGGGGGCAAGCGUUGUUCGGAAUUACUGGGCGUAAAGCGCACGUAGGCGGCUCUUUAAGUCGGGGGUGAAAUCCUGGAGCUCAACUCCAGAACUGCCUUCGAUACUGAAGAGCUCGAGUCCGGGAGAGGUGAGUGGAACUGCGAGUGUAGAGGUGAAAUUCGUAGAUAUUCGCAAGAACACCAGUGGCGAAGGCGGCUCACUGGCCCGGUACUGACGCUGAGGUGCGAAAGCGUGGGGAGCAAACAGG
rnacentral:rRNA from 1 species